rnacentral:rRNA from 1 species
GCAGUAGCCGCGGUAAUACGAGGGGUGCAAGCGUUAUUCGGAUUGAUCGGGUGUAAAGGGUGUGCAGACGGCUUAUUAAGUCACUUGUUAAAUUCUUCGGCCUAACUGAAGGUCUGCAAGUGAUACUGAUGAGCUAGAGGGUGGAAGAGAGAAGUGGAAUUCUCGGAGUAGCGGUAAAAUGCGUAGAUCUCGAGAGGAACACCAAUGGCGAAGGCAGCUUCUUGGUCCAUUCCUGACGUUCAUACACGAAAGCGUGGGGAGCAAACAGGAUUAGAUACCCCCGUAGUCCCUGUCUCUUAUAC